rnacentral:misc_RNA from 1 species
GUAAAAUUGGAAGAUGCAGGUUUUGAUUGGAAAAUCCUUGGUCCUGAUGUGCAAGAGGUUGAUUAUGUUGCAUGGGUGUGCGAUCAGGAUGCCUAUGCCUGUAGUGGUCAAAAGUGCUCUGCCGAGUCAAUUCUUUUUAUGCACGAGAACUGGGCAUCAACUAAUCUUCUACUUCUAAUGCAACAACUUGCUGAGAGAAGGAAAC